GCCCGAUGGAGGCUGGGGGGGUCCCCUGGGGGGGGUUGCACCCUUUUGGGGUCUCUCCCAGCCCAUUGGGGGCUGGGGGGGUUCCCUGGGGGCUUUGCACCCCCUUGGGGUCUCCAUGAGCCCGGUGGAGGCUCUGAGGUUCCCUGGGGGGUUUCCCCCUCUUUGGGGUCUCUCCGAGCCCACUGGAGGCUGUGGGGUUUGCUCUGGGGCUUUCCCCCUCUUUGGGGUCUUUCCAAACCCAGUGGGGGCUGUGGGAUUCCCCUGGGGGCUUUGCACCCCCUUUGGGGUCUCCAUGAGCCCGGUGGAGGCUGUAGGGGUUUGCUCUGGGGCUUUGCACCCCAGUGGGGUCUCUCCGAACCCAUUGGGGGCUGGGGGGGUUCCCUGGGGGGCUUUGCACCCCCUUGGGGUCUCCAGAAGCCCAGCGGAGCCUGUGGGGAUCAUUUGGGGCUUUGCCACCUCCAUGGGGUCUCCCUGAGCCCGGUGGAGCCUGUGGGGUUCCCUGGGGGCUUUCCCCCUCUUUGGGGUCUCUCUGAGCCCACUGAAGGCUGUGGGGUUCACUUUGAGCCUUUGCACCCCCUUGGGGUCUCCAUGAGCCCGGUGAAGCCUUUUAGGGUUCCCUUUGUGGCCCUGCGCCCCUUUAGGGUCUCUCCAAUCCCACUGCGACCCCCCCUCUCCCUCCCACCCCAAAAACCCCGCAGCUUGACGGGUGGACACAGCGCGGGGGGGGCUUGGUUCCCCCUGGCACCGCCGCUCCCCCUGCCCCGAGGGGGGACAUUUUUUUGGGGUGGAAGGAGCCAGCACGACCCCAUUGCAGGCAUUCGACCCCACAGGGGAGCGAGGCGGCUGCGGGGAGCCCCGAGCGGGGUUUUUAUGGCCCCGGGGGGCGAUAACUCACGCCCGGCGAGGCUGGCUGCGGUUUGUUGCCCCCGUCAUCGCCCAUUAGGGUUUUUUCUUUUUUUACAGCUCUUAAAUCCCGACGAGAGGGAUCGCCCGGGAGCGGAACGGGAGGGAGCCGAGCCGGGCCGAGGAGACUUCGGGGCUGUUUUGGGGUUAUUUAGCCACGUUUGGGGCUGUUUUGGGGUUAUUCAGGACCAUUUUGGGGUUACUUAG
rnacentral:lncRNA from 1 species